UACGGAGGGUGCAAGCGUUAUCCGGAUUCACUGGGUUUAAAGGGUGCGUAGGCGGGUUGGUAAGUCCGUGGUGAAAUCUCCAAGCUUAACUUGGAAACUGCCGUGGAUACUAUCAAUCUUGAAUAUCGUGGAGGUAAGCGGAAUACGUCAUGUAGCGGUGAAAUGCUUAGAUAUGACAUAGAACACCAAUUGCGUAGGCAGCUUACUACACGAUCAUUGACGCUGAGGCACGAAAGCGUGGGGAGCAAACAGG
rnacentral:rRNA from 1 species